AGCUUUGCGCAGUGGCAGUAUCAUAGCCAAUGAGGUUUAUCCGAGGCGCGAUUAUUGCUAAUUGAAGAAAAGAAAAGAAAAACAGGUUUCUGAAGAGAGAGCAAUUGCUCAAGAAUUCAGGCCGAUAGUUGACCAGUGAAACUUCAC